GGUUAAGCGACUAAGCGUACACGGUGGAUGCCCUGGCAGUCAGAGGCGAUGAAGGACGUGCUAAUCUGCGAUAAGCGUCGGUAAGGUGAUAUGAACCGUUAUAACCGGCGAUUUCCGAAUGGGGAAACCCAGUGUGUUUCGACACACUAUCAUUAACUGAAUCCAUAGGUUAAUGAGGCGAACCGGGGGAACUGAAACAUCUAAGUACCCCGAGGAAAAGAAAUCAACCGAGAUUCCCCCAGUAGCGGCGAGCGAACGGGGAGCAGCCCAGAGCCUGAAUCAGUGUGUGUGUUAGUGGAAGCGUCUGGAAAGGCGCGCGAUACAGGGUGACAGCCCCGUACACAAAAAUGCACAUACUGUGAGCUCGAUGAGUAGGGCGGGACACGUGGUAUCCUGUCUGAAUAUGGGGGGACCAUCCUCCAAGGCUAAAUACUCCUGACUGACCGAUAGUGAACCAGUACCGUGAGGGAAAGGCGAAAAGAACCCCGGCGAGGGGAGUGAAAAAGAACCUGAAACCGUGUACGUACAAGCAGUGGGAGCCUCUUAAUGGGGUGACUGCGUACCUUUUGUAUAAUGGGUCAGCGACUUAUAUUCUGUAGCAAGGUUAACCGAAUAGGGGAGCCGAAGGGAAACCGAGUCUUAACUGGGCGUUAAGUUGCAGGGUAUAGACCCGAAACCCGGUGAUCUAGCCAUGGGCAGGUUGAAGGUUGGGUAACACUAACUGGAGGACCGAACCGACUAAUGUUGAAAAAUUAGCGGAUGACUUGUGGCUGGGGGUGAAAGGCCAAUCAAACCGGGAGAUAGCUGGUUCUCCCCGAAAGCUAUUUAGGUAGCGCCUCGUGAAUUCAUCUCCGGGGGUAGAGCACUGUUUCGGCAAGGGGGUCAUCCCGACUUACCAACCCGAUGCAAACUGCGAAUACCGGAGAAUGUUAUCACGGGAGACACACGGCGGGUGCUAACGUCCGUCGUGAAGAGGGAAACAACCCAGACCGCCAGCUAAGGUCCCAAAGUCAUGGUUAAGUGGGAAACGAUGUGGGAAGGCCCAGACAGCCAGGAUGUUGGCUUAGAAGCAGCCAUCAUUUAAAGAAAGCGUAAUAGCUCACUGGUCGAGUCGGCCUGCGCGGAAGAUGUAACGGGGCUAAACCAUGCACCGAAGCUGCGGCAGCGACACUAUGUGUUGUUGGGUAGGGGAGCGUUCUGUAAGCCUGCGAAGGUGUACUGUGAGGUAUGCUGGAGGUAUCAGAAGUGCGAAUGCUGACAUAAGUAACGAUAAAGCGGGUGAAAAGCCCGCUCGCCGGAAGACCAAGGGUUCCUGUCCAACGUUAAUCGGGGCAGGGUGAGUCGACCCCUAAGGCGAGGCCGAAAGGCGUAGUCGAUGGGAAACAGGUUAAUAUUCCUGUACUUGGUGUUACUGCGAAGGGGGGACGGAGAAGGCUAUGUUGGCCGGGCGACGGUUGUCCCGGUUUAAGCGUGUAGGCUGGUUUUCCAGGCAAAUCCGGAAAAUCAAGGCUGAGGCGUGAUGACGAGGCACUACGGUGCUGAAGCAACAAAUGCCCUGCUUCCAGGAAAAGCCUCUAAGCAUCAGGUAACAUCAAAUCGUACCCCAAACCGACACAGGUGGUCAGGUAGAGAAUACCAAGGCGCUUGAGAGAACUCGGGUGAAGGAACUAGGCAAAAUGGUGCCGUAACUUCGGGAGAAGGCACGCUGAUAUGUAGGUGAAGUCCCUUGCGGAUGGAGCUGAAAUCAGUCGAAGAUACCAGCUGGCUGCAACUGUUUAUUAAAAACACAGCACUGUGCAAACACGAAAGUGGACGUAUACGGUGUGACGCCUGCCCGGUGCCGGAAGGUUAAUUGAUGGGGUUAGCGGUAACGCGAAGCUCUUGAUCGAAGCCCCGGUAAACGGCGGCCGUAACUAUAACGGUCCUAAGGUAGCGAAAUUCCUUGUCGGGUAAGUUCCGACCUGCACGAAUGGCGUAAUGAUGGCCAGGCUGUCUCCACCCGAGACUCAGUGAAAUUGAACUCGCUGUGAAGAUGCAGUGUACCCGCGGCAAGACGGAAAGACCCCGUGAACCUUUACUAUAGCUUGACACUGAACAUUGAGCCUUGAUGUGUAGGAUAGGUGGGAGGCUUUGAAGUGUGGACGCCAGUCUGCAUGGAGCCGGCCUUGAAAUACCACCCUUUAAUGUUUGAUGUUCUAACGUUGGCCCCUGAUCGGGGUUGCGGACAGUGUCUGGUGGGUAGUUUGACUGGGGCGGUCUCCUCCUAAAGAGUAACGGAGGAGCACGAAGGUUGGCUAAUCCUGGUCGGACAUCAGGAGGUUAGUGCAAUGGCAUAAGCCAGCUUGACUGCGAGCGUGACGGCGCGAGCAGGUGCGAAAGCAGGUCAUAGUGAUCCGGUGGUUCUGAAUGGAAGGGCCAUCGCUCAACGGAUAAAAGGUACUCCGGGGAUAACAGGCUGAUACCGCCCAAGAGUUCAUAUCGACGGCGGUGUUUGGCACCUCGAUGUCGGCUCAUCACAUCCUGGGGCUGAAGUAGGUCCCAAGGGUAUGGCUGUUCGCCAUUUAAAGUGGUACGCGAGCUGGGUUUAGAACGUCGUGAGACAGUUCGGUCCCUAUCUGCCGUGGGCGCUGGAGAACUGAGGGGGGCUGCUCCUAGUACGAGAGGACCGGAGUGGACGCAUCACUGGUGUUCGGGUUGUCAUGCCAAUGGCACUGCCCGGUAGCUAAAUGCGGAAGAGAUAAGUGCUGAAAGCAUCUAAGCACGAAACUUGCCCCGAGAUGAGUUCUCCCUGACUCNNNNNNNNNNNNNNNNNNNNNNNNNNNNNNNNNNNNNNNNNNNNNNNNNNNNNNNNNNNNNNNNNNNNNNNNNNNNNNNNNNNNNNNNNNNNNNNNNNNNNNGAGAGAAGAUUUUCAGCCUG
rnacentral:rRNA from 1 species